rnacentral:rRNA from 1 species
UACGAAGGGGGCUAGCGUUGUUCGGAAUUACUGGGCGUAAAGGGCGCGUAGGCGGUGCUGUAAGUCAGGCGUGAAAUCCCCGGGCUCAACCUGGGAAUUGCGCAUGAUACUGCGGCGCUGGAAUGCGGGAGAGGAUGGCGGAAUUCCCAGUGUAGAGGUGAAAUUCGUAGAUAUUGGGAAGAACACCGGUGGCGAAGGCGGCCAUCUGGCCCGUGAUUGACGCUGAGGCGCGAAAGCGUGGGGAGCGAACCGG